rnacentral:rRNA from 1 species
GAUCCUGGCUCAGGAUGAACGCUAGCUACAGGCUUAACACAUGCAAGUCGAGGGGCAGCAUGGUCUUAGCUUGCUAAGACUGAUGGCGACCGGCGCACGGGUGAGUAACACGUAUCCAACCUGCCGUCUACUCUUGGACAGCCUUCUGAAAAGGAAGAUUAAUACAAGAUGGCAUCAUGAGUCCGCAUGUUCACAUGAUUAAAGGUNUUCUGGUAGACGA